UGAUAAACAAACAUAAAAGAGUGUGGUUUUUUCUUUGUCCUUCUCUGCUCUGCUCACAGCAAAACUAUCUAAGGGGAGUUGGUGUCAAAAGCUUUUGCUUUCUCUUAAGCAGAGCAAUACAAGAGGAGCAACAGAGCUUGGGAAAUUAAGACCUUGUUAUUCGCGUAAACUUAUAAAAGACGUAACGCUUUGUUGAUGGAGAGUAGUACCAUAAAGCAAGUUUGUAGAAAUUGAUCUUUCAAUUUCCUUUAUCAAAUUCUGACAAGUAAGUUUGAGAAUGAGGACAUUAUUAAGUGACUUUGGUUAUAUUUUGCAUAUCUAUCUAUCCUUAAAUAAUUAGUUCAAUGUUGAACUUUGAUCACAACAUUUUCUAAUCAAUCUUGGUUAUAUUUUGCAUAUCUGCUGUAUCUAUCCUUAAAUAAUUAGUUCAAUGUUGAACUUUGUUCACAACAUUUUCUAAUCAAUCUUGGUUAUAUUUUGCAUAUCUGCUGUAUCUAUCCUUAAAUAAUUAGUUCAAUGUUUAACUUUGUUCACAACAUUUUCUAAUCAAUCUUGGUUAUAUUUU